GAAAGCCGUAUUCGAUGAAAGUCGUAUGUACGGCUUGGGGGGAGAUCUUUCCUAUCUUUCGAGAUCCACCCUAC
rfam:Triticum urartu cultivar G1812 contig740601, whole genome shotgun sequence.